UCACUGAGACUGACUAAUUUACUUUUUAUGAGUUUUACAGUUUUAGCUCUUAUGUUUAGGUCACUGAUCCAUUUUCAGUUAGUUUUAGUGUAUGGUGUGAGAUAGGAAUCUAAAUUCAUUCUUUUGCAUGUUUGUUUUUAUUCGUUUACAUGUAAAGAUUUCAGAGAGAAAUUUCUGUUCAAAUGAGAUGGCCGUUGCUACUCUCUUUGUGAGUUAUUGUUUUCAUGAUUUUUUUUGGUAGAUAUAUGUACUGUGUUCAUCUACUUGUGCUCUCAUCAAAUACGGUUGCAUUUUUGUCUCUCCUUUGUUUACUGGAAUCUGAAAAGCAGUACUGAUAGAUACAGUUUGAAUCAGCUUAUUCGUUUUUUCCCUUAAUUUGCA